GAUGAACGCUGGCGGCGUGCCUAAUACAUGCAAGUCGAGCGGAGCGGGGACGGGUGAGUAACACGUGGAUAACCUCCUAUAAGACUGGGAUAACCUCGGGAAACCGGAGCUAAACCGGAAACUUAGAGAUGGAUCCUCUCUUCAUUAGCUCGGUGGUAAGGUAACGGCGUACAAAGGCAACGAUGCAUAGCCGACCUGAGAGGGUGAUCGGCCACACUGGAACUGAGACACGGUCCAGACUCCUACGGUAGGCAGCAGUAGGGAAUCUUCCGCAAUGGGCGAAAGCCUGACGGAGCAACGCCGCGUGAGUGAUGAAGGUCUUCGGAUCGUAAAACUCUGUUAUUAGGGAAGCGGUACCUAAGGAGAAAGCAACGGCUAACUACGUGCCAGCAGCCGCGGUAAUAC
rnacentral:rRNA from 1 species